rnacentral:rRNA from 1 species
AGGAUAAACGCUGGCGGCGUGCCUAACACAUGCAAGUCGAACGUCCUACGCAAGUAGGGAGUGGCGGACGGGUGAGUAACACGUGGGCAAUCUACCUUUCGGUGAGGAAUACCGGCGAGAAAUCGCCGACAAUACCGCAUACGCUUCGCAAGAAGCAAAGUCGCAAGACGCCGGAGGAGGAGCCUGCGCCCGAUUAGCUGGUUGGUGGAGUAAUGGUCUACCAAGGCGACGAUCGGUAGCUGGUCUGAGAGGAUGAUCAGCCACACUGGGACUGAGACACGGCCCAGACUCCUACGGGAGGCAGCAGUGGGGAAUCUUGCGCAAUGGGCGAAAGCCUGACGCAGCAACGCCGCGUGGGGGAUGAAGGCCUUCGGGUUGUAAACCCCUUUCACCAGGAGCGAAUCAAGACGGUACCUGGGGAAGAAGCGCCGGCUAACUACGUGCCAGCAGCCGC